GUGGGGAAUAUUGGACAAUGGGGGAAACCCUGAUCCAGCGAUGCCGCGUGAGUGAAGAAGGCCUUAGGGUUGUAAAGCUCUUUCAGUAGUGAAGAUGAUGACGGUAGCUACAGAAGAAGGACCGGCUAACUCCGUGCCAGCAGCCGCGGUAAUACGGAGGGUUCAAGCGUUGUUCGGAAUUACUGGGCGUAAAGAGCGCGUAGGCGGCGCAGAUAGUCAGAUGUGAAAGCCCUGGGCUUAACCCAGGAGGUGCAUUUGAUACUGCUGUGCUAGAGUACCGAAGAGGUAAGUGGAAUUCCUAGUGUAGAGGUGAAAUUCGUAGAUAUUAGGAGGAACACCAGUGGCGAAGGCGGCUUACUGGUCGGUAACUGACGCUGAGGCGCGAAAGCGUGGGGAGCAAACAGGAUUAGAAACCCGAGUAGUCC
rnacentral:rRNA from 1 species